CCAAUAGCGUAUAUUAAAGUUGUUGCAGUUAAAAAGCUCGUAGUUGAAUUUCGGGGUUAGUAGGUUGGUCAUGCCUCUGGUAUGUACUGGUCUCACUGAUUCCUCCUUCCUGAUGAACCGUAAUGCCAUUAAUUUGUUGUUGCGGGGAAUUUGGACUGUUACUUUGAAAAAAUUAGAGUGUUUAAAGCAAGCUAACGCUUGAAUACAUUAGCAUGGAAUAAUGAAAUAGGACGUUCGAUCCUAUUUUGUUGGUUUCUAGGAUUGACGUAAUGAUUAAUAGGGAUAGUUGGGGGCAUUAGUAUUCAAUUGUCAGAGGUGAAAUUCUUGGAUUUAUUGAAGACUAACUACUGCGAAAGCAUUUGCCAAGGAUGUUUUCAUUAAUCAAGAACGAAAGUUAGGGGAUCGAAGACGAUCAGAUACCGUCGUAGUCUUAACCAUAAACUAUGCCGACUAGGGAUCGGAUGAUGUUAAUUUUUUAAUGACUCAUUCGGCGCCUUACG
rnacentral:rRNA from 1 species